UACGUAGGGUGCAGGCGUUAAUCGGAAUUCCUGGGCGUAAAGCGUGCGCAGGCGGUUUGCUAAGACAGGUGUGAAAUCCCCGGGCUUAACCUGGGAACUGCGUCUGAUACUGGAUGGCUUGAGUUCGGGAGAGGGAUGCAGAAUUCCAGGUGUAGCGGUGAAAUGCGUAGAUAUCUGGAGGAACACCGGUGGCGAAGGCGGCAUCCUGGACCAACACUGACACUGAGGCGCGAAAGCCAGGGGAGCGAACGGG
rnacentral:rRNA from 1 species